GGUCUUCGGAUCGUAAACUGCUUYCSCCAGGGGAGAAAGGCGCAUAGGUAAACAGCCUGAGCGUCAGACGGUACCUGGUAAAGAAGCUCCGGCUAAGUCCGUGCCAGCAGCCGCGGUAAUACGGGCGGAGCGAGCGUUGUUCGGAAUUAUUGGGUGUAAAGGGUGCGCAGGCGGUCGAUUAAGUCGGACGCGAAAUCUCCACGGCUCAACCGGGAGCUUGCGUCCGAUACUGGUCGACUUGAGUCCGGUAGAGGAGAGUGGAAUUCCCGGUGUAGCGGUGAAAUGCGCAGAUAUCGGGAGGAACACCAGUAGCGAAGGCGGCUCUCUGGGCCGGUACCGACGCUGAGGAGCGAAAGCGUGGGGAGCAAACAGGAUUAGAUACCCUGGUAGUCCUAGCCGUAAACGAUGGGUACUUGGUGUGGGGGGUGAUGAAGUCCCUCCGUGCCGGCGAUAACUCGUUAAGUACCCCGCCUGGGGAGUACGAUCGCAAGAUUGAAACUCAAAGGAAUUGACGGGGGCCCGCACAAGCGGUGGAGCAUGUGGUUUAAUUCGACGCAACGCGAAGAACCUUACCGGGGUUUGAACUGCAGUGGACAGCGGCAGAGAUGUCGUGUUCUCUUCGGAGACUGCUGCAGAGGUGCUGCAUGGCUGUCGUCAGCCCGUGUCGUGAGAUGUUGGGUUAAGUCCCGCAACGAGCGCAACCCUUGUCUGUAGUUGCCA
rnacentral:rRNA from 1 species